rnacentral:rRNA from 1 species
GACGAACGCUGGCGGCGUGCCUAAUACAUGCAAGUAGAACGCUGAAGGAGGAGCUUGCUUCUCCGGAUGAGUUGCGAACGGGUGAGUAACGCGUAGGUAACCUGCCUGGUAGCGGGGGAUAACUAUUGGAAACGAUAGCUAAUACCGCAUAACAGUAGAUAUUGCAUGAUAUCUGCUUGAAAGGUGCAAUUGCAUCACUACCAGAUGGACCUGCGUUGUAUUAGCUAGUUGGUGAGGUAACGGCUCACCAAGGCGACGAUACAUAGCCGGCCUGAGAGGGGGAUCGGCCACACUGGGACUGAGACACGGCCCAGACUCCUAAGGGAGGCAGCAGUAGGGAAUCUUCGGCAAUGGACGGAAGUCUGACCGAGCAACGCCGCGUGAGGGAAGAAGGGUUUCGGAUCGUAAAGCUCUGUUGUAAGAGAAGAACGAGUGUGAGAGUGGAAAGUUCACACUGUGACGGUAUCUUACCAGAAAGGGACGGCUAACUACGUG